GUUUUGUAAAAACUAUUCAACCAAUACGAAUUGCUACAUAAUAUGCAUUUUGCAGAAGAUCUGUGAUGAUUUGGAGCUCUCUCCAAUGCUAUACCAGUAAUCAACUUAUGGAAGAAGCUAGAGCUGUUGGAGAAGAACGUGCUCUUCAUGUUUGCUCAAACAAUUCAGAGGGAAGUUUAGUGAGACAAUUUUUAACUUUAUUUCCAUUUACUCUUCGUCAUGAGAGCAAUUUUUUGUGCAUAAUUGGAGCUUGAGUUUUUGCUUUGGUAGUUGUGAAGUUGCAAACUGUUAUUGGAAUAAGAAGCCUCUACUUUUGCUUGUUACUGAAUAUGAAUUUUCUUUUUUUUUUUAAGAAGUAAAUUUGCUAAUUAUUGUUCUUUUUCUUAGGCACCCAAGAAAAGAGUAUGUACUGUUAGUAAAGACCAAGAGGAAAUUAUUAGAGCUUUAUUUGAGUAGUGCAAGAAGGAGAAUCAUAGAUUACUGAGUGAAAAGGUACCAGAACAGAAGAUUGAAGAAAAGCUUUUGCAAAGUUUUGAUGAUGAAACCUUAAGCUCUGUUAUGAAGAAAUCUAAGAGAAUCCCUUUGAAGUUGGAUAAGAAGCAUACAAGCACUUUGAAUGGGUGUAUGGUGAUCAACAAUCCCUCUAGCUAUGCUGUUGCUAAUGAUGUUACCAAAAGGGAUGGACACACUCAAUCUAGUGAGGUGGAAGUUGUAGGAAUUGAAGAUGAUGUUGCUUUCAAGCAUGUUGGCUUGGAUGACGAUGUAGAAGAUGAUGUUGGGAAGUGUCCUAAAUUCCUAAUUAGUAAAAAUUCAUUUUUGUAAAGAAUAUUGUAUAGAAUAUUUCCUAAGUUGAUUUGUUAUUGUAAUAUUAGAUUUCCUUAUUGAAUAAGGAAAGUUAUUAGGAAUAUCUCUAUAAACAUUUUAGGUUAUGAUGGGAAAAAGUUGUAAGAUAGAGAUAAGUUUGUAGAGACUAUACGAGGUGGAUAGAAAUAUGAGGAAGAAUAUAAAAUAUCCGGUGAAGAGAGGGGGCUUAUGAUUCAA